UUUCAAACUUGCUGACCCAUGCAAUCACUUGAAUUCACUCUGGAAGCCCUAAUAGCCUAUUAGAUGCAGGGAUCAUUCUGACUUUAAUGAACUGACACUAAUUUUAUGCAUCAUUACCUCUGAGCUCUUCUCCUACAUCACUUCAAACCGCAGCCACUUGUGGCUCUGUUGCACUCCACUCUUCUUCUUCUUCUUUAAAUCUUGGGGGGGCCCUCGGAGGUCCCCGGACCCCAGUUUGUGCACCACUGAGCUCAGGCAGCAGCUGAAGAAGCCCCCUUAUGAUAUGGAGGCAACGCGCGUUGACGUGUCGCGCUGCGCUUGCGACCACUCGUCUCGGUAUGCGUCUUGCGCACACACACGCACAGCGCUCUCAUGGGGACAUGCGGCCAGUAGACGCAGCCACGGACCUCUGUCAGACGUCGAACAGGACAAGUCCUCUCCAGGAAAGACGAUGGAAAAAGUCCAACAGCAGCGUCCAUCUGUGGCCGGCAACACGGACGCUGCCAUCCAGGCUCAGCCAGCCAUCUUGUUUUGAAGUAGAAUGACUGUAAAAAUGAGAUGUUGGAGGAAAUUUAGCUUCUUUCCCACAUGCACCUCAAUGUAAAUGUUCUUUACAAGGUUCAAACAUUGUUUUUCAGGGAUGAGAAUGACAAAUGGAAAAAAACUCUGAAAAUGUCUGCCGAAGCCCCGAAGCCCCCCCCCGAAAAUAGGCGGAUGUUGUCAUUAACAUAAACAGCGAGAGAUGUUUACAGAUAGCAAUGCCGAUUUCCGUUCUCACAGCUGUAUCUGAUUUUGCAAUGCGCGUUGCCGAAAGAUGUCGGCGGCGGGAUGGUCAUCACAAGCCUCGGCUCGCGACGCGUCGGCCGGCCGCUUGCCUACCCCCCUACAAUUUUCUCAACGGAUUUACACGAUUCACAAAAACUAUACUUUCGGCGGAAAAAAACUCGGAAUUCCGCGGAAAAUUCUCAUCCCUGGUUUUUAGAUCAACGGAGCCAUGCUAGCAGCUACAUAAAGCUGUUUUUCGACACAGCAACACUGUCAGCUCAAUGCUAACGUUAGCAUUAUGCAGCCUUCAAACAGGGAUGUUACUGUCGGCAUUUAGAAGCUAAUCUUUUAGCAGGCUAACAAGCAGGAAGCUCAAGAAAUGUAAAGGCAUAAUGAAAAAAUGAGGCCACAGAGUACUAACCUUUUCCCUACACAUUAUGAAAUUACAAAGACAACCUUUACAUGAAUAAAAUGAGAACAUACGUACUUCCAAGCCAGUGAAAAAUGAACUCCCACUGCCUUAGCAAACAUGUCACGUCAGCCUGUUAGCAUAUCAAAGUGUGCUAAUUAGACGGUAAUGUGAACACCUAAUGUAAAUAUCCGUAGUUUAGCAGGUGUUGCUCGAUGAAAUGACUUGCUAGUAAGACUUAUCCUCUGGGUAAUACACAUUUCUGUGCUACCAUGGCUAAAAAUAACUCAUACCUUCCUUUAACAGUUAGCUUUUAGUGUAUUUAGCAUGUUAGCAUUUCAGCUAGCGUCAUUUUAUGGGAACAACAGGACGUAUAGUGCGUUUUGUUGAUAAUAUUUACUUGUCACCCCUCUUUAAAGUAGUUUUAGAGGUUUUUGGCAGUUUGAGCUGUAAUUUUAGUUGCUUAUUUACGCUUUGAGAGGCAAUAUCGUGAGAAAGUCACAUAGAAACACAGACGAAGGUGUUUUCCACCGCUAGACGAACAUCAAACAAUACAUCCUCACCUGUGAUGCUGCAGGAAGUGAGAAAAAGGUUUAAUAAGCCCUGCAGAGCCGGUACACCGCAAAAAAUAUCUCAGAUGGAAAAGUGACGCCAGCAAAACAACCUUUUCACUCGUUUCCUACAGAAGAAAUUAGAAGGGUGUAGGUGCGUGUGGGAAAAAGGCAUCUUUUGAGUUCAAACUAUGGCUCAAUUGCAUGAUUUUUUGAUUUUGUGAAGACAUUUUGUAAUUAGGAAAAAACUGCCUGCCAAAAAGCAUGUUUUCUUGUUUCAUUACAAGCUGUACCCCACGUCCUCACCUGUAUUGUAUCAGCAGUGGCCUCAGCAUGAAGUUGUUUUCCUCCUCAUCAUUUUCCUGUCUUGGCUGGGCCACCAUUUUGGCUCCGACGGAGGCAGCGGAGCCACGGGGCGCCCAGCGGUUGCUCAGUAGUCAGUGUAGAUCCUGUGGGGCUGGCAGCAGCUACAUCUGGCUACUGGGUCUCUGCUGGCGGCCGUGUUAUUCAGGAAUCCUCACUGUACGCUUAUCAUAUGUGCAACUGCUCCGCUGAUGUACUUUGAGGAUCCUUUCAGACGGGUUUCUGAUGGGAUUAGCGUAUUAUUUCCUACUGGUGUUUUCUCUGUGUAGCUCACACCCUCUCUUUGUGAUCUUUUCUGCUUUUAAGUUUUCUAAGAAAUGUCUCAAAUGCUCACCCACUGCGAGGAGAAAAAGCCCCCCGUGGAGUUAAUCCGAGGGUGCACGGGUGCUUCAGAGGACAGCGAGAAUGUGUUUCUUAAAAUUAAAAUGAAAUUGAUGUACUGAGGAGCGCGGUGAGUUCUGGACCUGGCAUACAGUGUAGGAUUCUGUGUGUGUCAGUCUACAGCUACAUUGUCUGCUGGGUUUCAGGCCUGUACUCGAGACACGUCAGCGUUUUCUCAAUUUUUGUGAAAUGUCAACAUACGUGUAUGAAACAGCAUGGAUAAUUUGACAACUUUGUGUUUAUUGACUCAUCAUAAAACAUUCUUCAAACAAUAAAACAAUUUUAAAUGUCCGUUUCUGUACAA